rnacentral:misc_RNA from 1 species
GAUGAAGAACGUAGCGAAAUGCGAUACUUGGUGUGAAUUGCAGAAUCCCGUGAACCAUCGAGUCUUUGAACGCAAGUUGCGCCCGAAGCCAUUAGGCCGAGGGCACGCCUGCCUGGGCGUCACACGUCGUUGCCCCCCCAUCUACUCCUUCGGGAUUGCGGGGGGCGGAUGAUGGCCUCCCGUGCGCCUCGCCGCGCGGUUGGCAUAAAUGCCAAGUCCUCGGCGACGCACGCCACGACAAUCGGUGGUUGCGAAACCUCGGUUGCCUGUCGUGUGCGGUCGUCGCGCAUCGAGGGCUCGAAAAAAUUGCCGGGCUUCGGCUCGACUUUCAACGCGACCCCAGGUCAGGCGGGGUUACCCGCUGAAUUUAAGCAUAUCAAUAAGCGGAGGA